UGUCUAUGCCCUCCUUGGGCGUUUCCUCCCUAGACUUGGGCCGCGCUUUAUGCGCGGUCUUUUUUUGCCCUCA
rnacentral:sRNA from 1 species